AGAGUUUGAUCCUGGCUCAGAACGAACGCUGGCGGCGUGGAUAAGACAUGCAAGUCGAACGAGAGAAUUGCUAGCUUGCUAACAAUUCUCUAGUGGCGCACGGGUGAGUAACACGUGAGUAACCUGCCCCCGAGAGCGGGAUAGCCCUGGGAAACUGGGAUUAAUACCGCAUAGUAUCGAAAGAUUAAAGCAGCAAUGCGCUUGGGGAUGGGCUCGCGGCCUAUUAGUUAGUUGGUGAGGUAACGGCUCACCAAGGCGAUGACGGGUAGCCGGUCUGAGAGGAUGUCCGGCCACACUGGAACUGAGACACGGUCCAGACACCUACGGGUGGCAGCAGUCGAGAAUCAUUCACAAUGGGGGAAACCCUGAUGGUGCGACGCCGCGUGGGGGAAUGAAGGUCUUCGGAUUGUAAACCCCUGUCAUGUGGGAGCAAAUUAAAAAGAUAGUACCACAAGAGGAAGAGACGGCUAACUCUGUGCCAGCAGCCGCGGUAAUACAGA
rnacentral:rRNA from 1 species